UACGGGGGGGGCAAGCGUUGUUCGGAAUUACUGGGCGUAAAGGGCGCGUAGGCGGCCUGUUAAGUCGAACGUGAAAUCCCCAGGCUCAACCUGGGAACUGCGUCCGAUACUGGCAGGCUUGAAUCCGGGAGAGGGAUGUGGAAUUCCAGGUGUAGCGGUGAAAUGCGUAGAUAUCUGGAGGAACACCGGUGGCGAAGGCGGCAUCCUGGACCGGUAUUGACGCUGAGGCGCGAAAGCGUGGGGAGCAAACAGG
rnacentral:rRNA from 1 species